GUCAUGUGAUGCGGUGAUAGCCGCAUAGUCCCCGCGCGGGACCUUAGAAGUGUCAUUCUGUCCGCGCAACCUGUCGCAGUGCAUUCCUUACGCAAAGGUUAAUGCCGGUUCCGAAUCUGGACGACGUAGGAAGAUUCCAUAUCUUUCAGUGACUUGCAAAGGCUGCCGCUAGAUUUUCCACGGCUCGCGGCAGUUCCCGCAUAUGACCGAUGACAAUGUCGGGCUUCAGUUCCGCGAUGGGAAUC
rnacentral:misc_RNA from 1 species